CAGGGUAUCCCUCAGUUUUAAUCAAGUCUUAGGCGCGAUAAGGAGCCAAUGAUCGGGAAACGAUUCCACAUCCCUCUCUCGAAAGGACACAUGACCGCCUGACUUGACGGUAUGAAAGGACAACGAUUCAUUAGCUCGAGAAUCACAAGCUAUUUAUUCUUCGAAAUAAAUGAAGUCCUCAGACAUACGUCUGAGCAUACUCUCAAAACAAAUCCUGACUAUUAUUCACAAAUGUAUCUGCGGUUGAAGAUAUAUUUAUCGAAAAGUUAAUUAACAGGUGAUUUAGAUUUGUUGUGGUGCCACCCCAUGAGCUCCCAUACCUUACCGAUUGUUAUAUGUUAAUGAUUUGUUGCCUCUUGAUUGGAAAAGGAUCGAUCAACCUCGCUCCUUUUUAGAAUGGUUGAGAUGGCCCGACGUAACAAAUAAUUAUAUGCUAAAACAGUGAAUGGCGUUGAAUCCGAUUGUUUACUCAAACUCCAAAUAUCCUUUGUUAUUAAAAUUCAAAUUCUGAA